GCGUCGGUAGUCCAACGGUUAUGAUAGUUCCCAUCAAGCAUUAGAACCGGGUUCGACUCCCGGCCGACGCA
rnacentral:tRNA from 1 species